GAAAUAUAAUUUAAUUAAGCUGCUAACUUAACUCUUAGUGAUUAAUAAUCAUUAAUAUUUCU
rnacentral:tRNA from 1 species